GAAUUAUUGAAAUAGUACAGUUAUUUAGUUGUGCGUUAAAGAAGUUUAUUCAAGAAAAAUAUAAGAAGUGCUCCUCUUUUUUACUCAUCAAUUCCGAGAGCGAUGCGAGCCGGGGGGAAGCGAGCAGGGGGGGAGCCCCUAGCUUAAUUUAAGAAAA